CACGGUCUUCUCCCAUCCGGUCCGGACCCCACUCCGAGGUGCACCAACGACACAGCCACCGACCCACGAGGCCCUCCAACGGCAUCAGCGCUUCUAAGCCCUGAAGAAUAAAGCGACCUGCCCAGAGGCGCACGAGGCCCGCGCCCUGAACCCGCGUCUAGGCUCAGCUCCCCUCUCCCCGGGGGCAGAGCCCGCUCGAAUUCGGAGGGGCCUGCUUGGGCACCUCCACGCGGAGCCGUUUCAAGAAAUUCUAAGCAAAACCAAUCGUUGAGGAGUCCGAGGAAUCCAAGGAGCCACAAACCCUGCCGGACCAGGAAGAUGGUAAAAACUCCCACCCGUGACCUUAGGCAGGUACCUCCCCAAGCCUCACUUUCAUCGUGUGCAAAAUGAGAACGUCUAAUUUAAAGGAUCUUCGUGAUGAUGACACGGUACCGUGCAUCUACAAUAACUCGGCGCGGCUCACGGUCCAGAAGGUCUCAAUUGUUACAACAUGGUUGCAUAGCAGCUUCUAUCAAAGUUCAGCAAAUUAUCAAUGUCAUACUUCCACGUGUAACAAAGCUGUACUGGAAGAAGAUAAGAAUUGGACUACAGUUGUCUGGGAAAUGUAGUUUCUUUAUUCCCUGUUUUCAAAACUUAUUACCAAAUGCCCGUCAAUUGGUGAAAACGUCAACAAAAUGUGAUUUAUCAAAAAAACCUGAAUACUACUACAAUAAAAAGAAGCAAACCACUGAUACAGCAUGAAUGAAUGAAUCUCAGAAAUACUAUGGUGACUGAAAGAAGCCAGGCUCAAAAGACGACAUGAUUCCAUUUAUGGCCUUCUGGAACAUGCAAGACUAAAUGCCUGGCACACAGUGAGAGAGAGAGAGAGAGAGGCAGAGACAGAAGCAGGCUCCAUGCACCGGGAACCCGAUGUGGGAUUCGAUCCCGGGUCUCCAGGAUCGCGCCCUGGGCCAAAGGCAGGCGCCAAACCGCUGCGCCACCCAGGGAUCCCUGUUUUAUUUUUAAGAAAAGGUGGAUGGACACAGAGAAAAUGCACUCGAGAGGAAAACUUAACAUUGUCAUGGAAGGCCACCUGUCUGCUGUACAAUAUAAUGAAGAGUUAAAGAUGUCAUGUGUCUGUCUGUCAUACAUGAUUUAUUUGUCCUUGGUUGGCAAAUUUAUGCUUCUGUUCUUCAUUUUAGAAGUUUCUGCAUUGUCCUGAACAUAUUCCUUAACACAAAAUGAAAAAUACUCUGCCUCUAUGAGGACAUAUAAACUCAAAAAAAUGCUGAAUGCUCCAUCAAUCUUUUGCAGAUUUUGAAUCAAAUGCAGAGUGAGUGUUUCAUUAUGUUAAAAAGAGAGGAAAAUGGUAAACUAUGGGAAAAUAUUUUCACCAAAUGUAAUCAUUAAAGAGCUAAUAACUAUAAUAAAAGGAAUUCAUAUAAGUUUAUGAGAAAAAACAAUAGCUCAAUUGAUGAAUGGUCAACACAAAUAACUAAAAAAUAAAAUGCCAAAGUAAAUGAGUAUAUAAAAAAUGUUUAUGGCACUCCAGAUGUUGGCGACAUUAUAAAUUACUGCAAUGUUUUAAAGGCAUUAUAAUAAUACAUACAAGGAAUGUAAACAAAUGUCCAUAACUUCUGACACAUUUAUCCUAAUCCUUAGAGUUUACCUUAAGGAAAUAAUUUAAAAGAAAGGAAAAAACAUGUAUAUAAAUAUGCCAGUUUAUUAAUCAUGCAUGACUACAAUAUUAAAAAUUUAAAGAAGCUGGAAAUCCAAUAGAACUUAGUAACUUAUGCUAUAUUAUGCAAUCGAUUAUUGUAAGGACUGCAUUAUUGGGUAACAAAUGAAAAUCAUGAUGAAAUUUCAUUUACUAUAAUUAUAGUUAUUUAAAUUCUUAAAGAGCAUAAGAAAACAUGAGA